rnacentral:rRNA from 1 species
GGCCGCAGUAUUUUAACUGUGCAAAGGUAGCAUAAUCAUUAGUCUUUUAAUUGAAGGCUGGUAUGAAUGGUUGGACGAAAUAUAUACUGUUUCAUAAAAAUUUUUUAUAAAAUUUUAUUUUUUAGUUAAAAAGCUAAAAUAUUUUUAAAAGACGAGAAGACCCUAUAAAUCUUUAUAUAAUUUAUUUUAUAAUUUUUUAGAAAAAUUUUAUUUUAAAAAUAUUUAUAUAUUUUAUUGGGGUGAUAUUAAAAUUUAAUUAACUUUUAAUUUAUAAAAUCAUUAAUUUAUGAGUAAUUGAUCUAUUAAUAAUGAUUAAAAAAAUAAGUUACUUUAGGGAUAACAGCGUAAUUUUUUUGGAGAGUUCUUAUCGAUAAAAAAGAUUGCGACCUCGAUGUUGGAUU